rnacentral:rRNA from 1 species
CCUGACUGCUAUCGGAUUGAUACUAAGCCAUGCGAGUCAUUGUAGCAAUACAAGGCAGACGGCUCAGUAACGCGUAGUCAACCUACCCUAUGGACGGGGAUAACCUCGGGAAACUGAGAAUAAUACCCGAUAGAACAUUAUACCUGGAAUGGUUUAUGUUUCAAAUAAUUUAUUGCCGUAGGAUGGGACUGCGGCCUAUCAGUUUGUUGGUGAGGUAAUGGCCCACCAAGACUAUUACAGGUACGGGCUCUGAGAGGAGUAGCCCGGAGAUGGGUACUGAGACACGGACCCAGGCCCUAUGGGGCGCAGCAGGCGAGAAAACUUUGCAAUGUGCGAAAGCACGACAAGGUUAAUCCGAGUGGUUUCUGCUAAAGGAACCUUUUGUCAGUCCUAGAAACACUGAUGAAUAAGGGGUGGGCAAGUUCUGGUGUCAGCCGCCGCGGUAAAACCAGCACCUCAAGUGGUCAGGAUGAUUAUUGGGCCUAAAGCAUCCGUAGCCUGCUUUGUUAGUUUUCGGUUAAAUCCAUACGCUCAACGUAUGGGCUGCCGGGAAUACUGCAAAGCUAGGGAGUGGGAGAGGUAGACGGUACUCGGUAGGAAGGGGUAAAA